rnacentral:rRNA from 1 species
AGCAGCCGCGGUAAUUCCAGCUCCAAUAGCGUAUAUUAAAGUUGUUGCAGUUAAAAAGCUCGUAGUUGAAUUUCGGGAUCAGUUGGUCGGUCGUGCCUCGGUACGUACUGGUCAAAUUGAUUCCUACCUUCUGACGAACCACGAUGUCAUUAAUUUGGUGUCGCGGGAAAUCAGGACUGUUACUUUGAAAAAUUAGAGUGUUUAAAGCAGGCUCGCGCUUGAAUACAUUAGCAUGGAAUAAUGAAAUAGGACGUUUGAUUCUAUUUUGUUGGUUUCUAGGAUCGACGUAAUGAUUAAUAGGGAUAGUUGGGGGCAUUAGUAUUCAAUUGUCAGAGGUGAAAUUCUUGGAUUUAUUGAAGACUAACUACUGCGAAAGCAUUUGCCAAGGAUGUUUUCAUUAAUCAAGAACGAAAGUUAGGGGAUCGAAGACGAUCAGAUACCGUCGUAGUCUUAACCAUAAACUAUGCCGACUAGGGAUCGGAUGAUGUUAAUUUUUAAUGUACUCAUUC